rnacentral:misc_RNA from 1 species
GGACAAUGGAAAAUGGCGAGGGGAAAAAAAAAAUAAAGCCUCCAAGCUUCUUAUAUCUUAUUUUGUAUUAUGAAGUCUUUGUGCCAUGAUUUUUCAUUUAACAUUUUGGAUGCUAAGUUUAGUUUAUGGUUUUAAGUGUUAGGUUGAGUGCAUGGAGUGUAUCUACUAACUUGGGUGUGACAUAUACCUUCUUUGUUAAUUUUUUUUCUGGUUAUUUAAAACUUAUAAAAAUAUGAUUUAUAUAUACAAAGUGAACGCUAAUUAUUAUUUGAUAAAAGUUCUCUUUGCACAAUUUUAUUCAUUAUAAUAAUUAUAUGAUUUUAAAUUUUGGCCCCUUAAUAUUUAAUCCUGCAUCUGCCCCCAAUUCAAGUGCUUACAAGGAAUUACUGCUUACUCUUUUUUAAUUGUCCAUUUGUUUUAUGUGAGAAUUCAUUUUUGUUUAACAUUUAACAGCAGAACUUAUAGUUUUAAUGUUUGUGGAAUAAAGAUUUGAAUUUCCAAAAUGGAUGAAGUCAUUUGAGAGAUGCAAUGAACUUUAUACUAAAAUCAUGGAUGAAAAUAUGCUUCUUGAAUGUUUCACAUGAUAAUUGUCAUUAACUGGAAUUCCAAAUAUAUUUGUGCAAUAAUGGAACCAUCAUUAUUGGUAAUAAUGUGAAUUAAUUCAUGCUACUUACAAGUUACAAUGUGAGGUUCUUGGGCGAAUGAGAAGGCAGGAGUGUAAUUUUAUAAGUUACAAUGUGAGGUUCUUGGGCGAAUGAGAAGGCAGGAGUGUAAUUUUAUAAGUUACAAUGUGAGGUUCUUGGGCGAAUGAGAAGGCAGGAGUGUAAUUUUAUCUUCCAUUAAAGCCAGUAGUUCUUUGAGGAAAGGAGGAAAACCUCUUUUGAACAUUAGAACAUGAUUCAUGCCAUCAUGCAAACCCCAAGUUUCACAGAACUUGAGAAGGUCUGCUACAUUUUAUGGUAUAACUCUGACAUAGCCUCUAUUUAUGCUCGUCUAAACUUUAUGCCAAAGUUAGUUUUUGUCAGUCACAUGAAUCCUUUUUCUUUCAUCCCUAUUCAGAACCAUGUUUUUUAUUGAGAUACUUAGGUUAGGAAUCACAUCUGAGUCAUCCAUGUUUAAAAGACAAAGAUAUAAAAUAUACCACAAUAAACUGCAGUUUUCAUUUUAUCUGAUUUUACAUACAUUAAUAUGCAGAAAAAGAUUGAAUUACUUCCUGAGUACCCUAAACAAAGUAGCCUUUGGUCCUGCAUGAUAACGCUAAUUUGUUGAUUAGGUUGUUGAUGAAUGGGAUUGAGAGACAUCAUUAAUCUGAUAUCUUAAAAUAUUACUUUGUAUUAGAAGUUUCAUCUAUCUUCUAAAAAAGAAUAUGCAUGUCAUAAUUUUUGUUUCAG